rnacentral:lncRNA from 1 species
UAUUACCAUUGUGAUUUCACAUUUUUUUCACUUUAAUGCCUUAUAGUUUAAAGUGUAUCAAUUUAGUAUCAUGUGGUUUCGCACUUUUCCACUUUAGUGCCCUGUGGUUUAAAGUGCAUCAAUUUAAUUAAUAUUCCGUGGUUUCAUUUUUUUCUUUUCGUCGGCUCCUCUGUUAAUAUUUCAUUAAAUUAUAUAUAAAAAAAUUAAGAUAUCCUACCUGGGUUUAUCGAAUAUUUACUUUAGUACCCUUUAGUUUUAAUUUUGUCAUUGAUUUUUUUUUUCCUCCGUUAAUAUUUCGUUAAAUUAUAUAUAAAAAACUUCAGAUGCCCUAUCUAGAUUUAUCGAAUAUUCACUUUAGUACCCUUUAGUUUUAACUUUGUCACUGAUUUAACAAAAAAAAAUUAGUGAAAUAGAUAAUAAAAAGAGAAAAAGAAACCAUAUAGUACUAACUUGAUACACUUUAAAUCCUAAGAUACUAAAGUGAGAAAGUGCGAAACUGCAAGGGCUAACUUGAUACGCUUUAGAUCACAAGUUACUAAAAUGAGAAAGUAUGAAACCACGUGAGGCAUAUUUGAAGUUUAUCCAAAAAAAAGUUAGAAUAGGUAAUGUUACUUAUAC